CCAAUUAAGGGUCACAGUGGGAGCUGGAGCCUAUCCCAGCAGUCAUAGGGCAUGGGGCGGGGCUCACCCUGGACUGGAUGCCAAUCUGUCGCAGUACUAGGCAU